GCAUUGUUGGAACAUUCACCUGAAAACUCUCCAUCGAUGGCAAGAAAGUCAGCCUCUUCUAUUGCGGUGUACACGAAGUUUAAACAGUCCUUAAAACCUUGAAGAUGCAGAAAGUGGAGUGGGCGCACCUCCGCACGGCUGCAGGAGAUCUGCAAUCAGCGCACCUGCCUGGGAUGAACGAGCUGCCUUCAUAAGCUCGCACAACCUGCCAUGCCGGGCCGGAAUAUAACCUUCUGUUGGCGUACAUACCCUCCGUCGCCUGGAAAGUGAGCUGUGCGUCUCACUUUUCCCCGGAUCUCCCUCUGGACUCUGACUGCCUCCCUCGAUCCUUGACUUCCCCCGCUUUGGACUCGGACCUGUAGAUUUCUCUCUCCCCUGGACUUCCUCGUCUCUCGUUCAACACUUUGUAAACACACACUUCAUCUAACUACACACAUAGCCUCACACACACACACUCUUGGGUUUUGACACACUCCAUUUCCUUAGUUCAGGGGUGUCAAACUCAUUUUAGAUCAGGGGCCACAUGGAGAAAAAUCUACUUCCAAGUGGGCCGGACUGGUAAAAUCACGGCACAAUAACUUAAUAUUAAAGUUAAGUUAAGUUAAAGUACCAAUGAUUGUCACACACACACUAGGUGUGGUGAAAUUUGUCCUCUGCAUUUGACCCAUCCCCUUGUUCACCCCCUGGGAGGUGAGGGGAGCAGUGAGCAGCAGCGGUGGCCGCGCCCGGGAAUCAUUUUUGGUGAUUU